UUAUAAUUUUUCUGAUGCUAAACAGAACUAUUCACAGCAGUAAUAAUAAUAAUGGUCCCUCACAUGUCUUGUAUACUUAACAAUUUCUGGAUCUUUCCUUUACCUAUGUUAACCUAGCUUGUAGCUCCAUGCCCAGCCGCCCACGCUAUUAAUUAAAUCAGGCUUGAGGCUCAGCAAUCAGUAUGGACGCUUCGACUCGAGCUGCUUUAACCUCGGCUUUAACAGUAAUAGAAGCGGAGGAGGUUGUUCUGCCUGGAGGAGAGCUAAAGAAAGGGCCAGUAUACGUCAGUAUAGUACAAGAUACCAUUACCGAGACCAUUACUGAUAUUAUCCAGUACUCGUCCACCACUGAACAGUUAAAGAUGUGAUUAAGACUCAUUUAUUGACUCCUGGCUUCAUUGACUUACACAUUCAUGGAUUAGGUGGAACCAAUGAUGUGAUAGAUUUCUGGUCAAACCCAGGCUACACACUCUCUCGUCUGCCAAUGGGAGGUACCACAAGUUGCCUAGCAACCAUUGUCCUACCUAAGAGCUCAUCACUCUACAAUUAUUUGAUAAGUUAAAAGACGUUAUUGGUAGGACUGAUACUGGCAGUGCAGUACUGGAAAGAA